CCCUUAGAUGUCCUGGGCCGCACGCGCGUUACACUGAUGCAUUCAACGAGCUUAUAACCUUGGCCGAGAGGCCUGGGCAAUCUUGUUAACGUGCAUCGUGAUAGGGAUAGAUUAUUGAAAUUAUUAAUCUUGAACGAGGAAUUCCUAGUAAACGCAGAUCAUCAAUCUGCAUUGAUUACGUCCCUGCCCUUUGUACACACCGCCCGUCGCACUUACCGAUUGGAUGGUCCGGUGAAGCCUCGGGAUUGUGGUUCUUGCCGCUUUAUUGUGGCGUGACCGCGAGAACUUGUCUAAACCUUAUCAUCUAGAGGAAGGUGAAGUCGUAACA
rnacentral:rRNA from 1 species